AGAGUUUGAUCCUGGCUCAGGAUGAACGCUGGCGGCGUGCCUAAUACAUGCAAGUCGAGCGAACGGACGAGAAGCUUGCUUCUCUGAUGUUAGCGGCGGACGGGUGAGUAACACGUGGAUAACCUACCUAUAAGACUGGGAUAACUUCGGGAAACCGGAGCUAAUACCGGAUAAUAUUUUGAACCGCAUGGUUCAAAAGUGAAAGACGGUCUUGCUGUCACUUAUAGAUGGAUCCGCGCUGCAUUAGCUAGUUGGUAAGGUAACGGCUUACCAAGGCAACGAUGCAUAGCCGACCUGAGAGGGUGAUCGGCCACACUGGAACUGAGACACGGUCCAGACUCCUACGGGAGGCAGCAGUAGGGAAUCUUCCGCAAUGGGCGAAAGCCUGACGGAGCAACGCCGCGUGAGUGAUGAAGGUCUUCGGAUCGUAAAACUCUGUUAUUAGGGAAGAACAUAUGUGUAAGUAACUGUGCACAUCUUGACGGUACCUAAUCAGAAAGCCACGGCUAACUACGUGCCAGCAGCCGCGGUAAUACGUAGGUGGCAAGCGUUAUCCGGAAUUAUUGGGCGUAAAGCGCGCGUAGGCGGUUUUUUAAGUCUGAUGUGAAAGCCCACGGCUCAACCGUGGAGGGUCAUUGGAAACUGGAAAACUUGAGUGCAGAAGAGGAAAGUGGAAUUCCAUGUGUAGCGGUGAAAUGCGCAGAGAUAUGGAGGAACACCAGUGGCGAAGGCGACUUUCUGGUCUGUAACUGACGCUGAUGUGCGAAAGCGUGGGGAUCAAACAGGAUUAGAUACCCUGGUAGUCCACGCCGUAAACGAUGAGUGCUAAGUGUUAGGGGGUUUCCGCCCCUUAGUGCUGCAGGUAACGCAUUAAGCACUCCGCCUGGGGAGUACGACCGCAAGGUUGAAACUCAAAGGAAUUGACGGGGACCCGCACAAGCGGUGGAGCAUGUGGUUUAAUUCGAAGCAACGCGAAGAACCUUACCAAAUCUUGACAUCCUUUGACAACUCUAGAGAUAGAGCCUUCCCCUUCGGGGGACAAAGUGACAGGUGGUGCAUGGUUGUCGUCAGCUCGUGUCGUGAGAUGUUGGGUUAAGUCCCGCAACGAGCGCAACCCUUAAGCUUAGUUGCCAUCAUUAAGUUGGGCACUCUAAGUUGACUGCCGGUGACAAACCGGAGGAAGGUGGGGAUGACGUCAAAUCAUCAUGCCCCUUAUGAUUUGGGCUACACACGUGCUACAAUGGACAAUACAAAGGGCAGCGAAACCGCGAGGUCAAGCAAAUCCCAUAAAGUUGUUCUCAGUUCGGAUUGUAGUCUGCAACUCGACUACAUGAAGCUGGAAUCGCUAGUAAUCGUAGAUCAGCAUGCUACGGUGAAUACGUUCCCGGGUCUUGUACACACCGCCCGUCACACCACGAGAGUUUGUAACACCCGAAGCCGGUGGAGUAACCUUUUAGGAGCUAGCCGUCGAAGGUGGGACAAAUGAUUGGGGUGAAGUCGUAACAAGGUAGCCGUAUCGGAAGGUGCGGCUGGAUCACCU
rnacentral:rRNA from 1 species